CCGUUGCCAUGGCAGUGACGUCAGGCGUCGGCGAGCGAACCCAGCCCCUUCCCCACGCGCGCGCGCGCACAUACAGAGCUACAUGCACCCGCGCGUGCACCGCCGCUCUCCCUCAGACACACUGGAGGGAAAGGUCAAACUAAAGGCGAGGGAGCCGGGAGGCCAGAGGGAGCCGACGCCGCUGCCGCCGCCGCCGCCGCCGCCGCCGCGCGCCAUGACGGACGGGGCUGAGGCCGCUUUCUCUCCGCCGCCGCCGCCGCUGCCGAGCCGCGGCUCUCGUCGCGCCCCCUACCCCCGCCUCCCGCGCCCCCUCCCCCCCGGUGCUCGCGCGUCCACGCGCCCCCUCCCCCUCGGCGCUUCAGGCGCGCGUCGGGCCCGGGGCGCGCGCCGGCCCGAGCGGGCGCGGGAGGGUGGGGGCCGCGGCUGGCUGGCGGCCUCCUGGCGCGACCCCAGACCCCCUCGCCUGGCCCCUCGGCUAGAGCCCACCAGGCUCGGACCUCCGAAGGCAGAUCUCUGAACCUCACGGUAGGGUUCUUUAGCAGCCAGAAGAUGAAGAAUGCGUGACUCUGACCCUCCCAACACCCCAGGGUGGGAUCGCUCUUCGCCCCAUUUUCCAGGUGAGGAAACCAAGGCUCUGAGACGGCUGUGGUUGUGUAGCUAACCGUAACCACGACGGCUAACCAGUGGCAGACUCAGGUCUCCCAACUCCAAAUCCCGGGUGUUUUUCCUUGUGAUUACGGCCAACUAGAAUUUUUAUUUCCAUUAGUUACCACCAUGCUGCCCCAACAUACACACCUACACACACCAUUGACUCCCAAUCUCUACAUACUUGGUACCUUUUUAUUUUUAAUUAAUUAAUUAAUUUAUUUAUUUAUUUUAGGGCUGCACCUGUGGCAUAUGCACGUUCCCAGGCUAGGGGUCAAAUCAGAGCUGCAGCUGCAGGCCUACACCACAGCCACAGCAGUGCCAGGUCUGAGCCGAGUCUUCGGCCUACACUGCAGCUCACAGCAGUGCUGGACCCUCAGUUCACUGAUUGAGUGCUGGACCCUCAGUCCACCCUCAGUCCACUGAUUCCAAGGGUCGAACCCACAUGCUCAUGGGUCCUAGUUGAUUGAGUUCCUUACAACCAGUAACAGGAGUGUUAAUAGAUACUUAAAAGUUGCAAACCCCCCAGGGUCUAUGGAGUUGUCUAUUCUAAGGCCAUUCAGAAUGGCCCCAGAUGGAUUUCACAGUAUAAAAGAAAGGCAAGGAGGAGUUCCCACUGUGGCAUAACGGGAUUGGUGUUGUCUUGGGAGCGCUGGGACACAGGUUUGAUCCUGGCACAGUGGGUUAAGGAACCAGCAUUGCCACACCUGCGGGGUAGCUCAUAACUGAUGCUCGUAUCUGAUCCCUGGCCUGGGAACUCCGUGAGCCUCGGGGCGGCCAAAAAAGAAAAAAAAUAAAAGGAAGGCAAGGUGAGUGGCUUUAGCCCCC
rnacentral:lncRNA from 1 species